CCAGGAGGGUCAAAUGGGAAAAACUCCUGCCGCUCCUGGCAUCUUCAGAAGAGGGGGGAGAGGCAUCUUUGAUUAAUCCCUAUGGUCAGUGCCAGUUCCCCACCCUCAAGCUGGCACCCUCCUUUGGUUUGGAGCUGCUAUCCCCCCAUCAGCCCUAGCCAGUCAGUUUGAGAGUUCAAACCCCAAAGUCAGAGAAAGUUGUAGGCACAUGUUGUGAAUAGGCAGCUACAGUGGUACCUCAGGUUACAUACGCUUCAGGUUACAGACUCUGCUAACCCAGAAAUAGUACCUUGGGUUAAGAACUUUGCUUCAGGAUGAGAACAGAAAUCGCGCAGCGGCGGCGCGGCAGCAGCGGGAAACCCCAUUAGCUAAAGUGGUGCUUCAGGUUAAGAACAGUUUCAGGUUAAGAACGGACCUCCGGAACGAAUUAAGUACAUAACCAGAGGUACCACUGUACAUUUCUGUUUCCUUCGUUGUUGGCAUCCAUCUCUCGGAAGACAAUGGCUACUGCAUUUAACGCAGAUAUCACUCGGGCCUUACGUAAACCAAAAAUUACCCUUAAGCUUAAUCAAACAGGAAAAAAGACAUUUAUCAUAUUAAUCAAUUUAUUUAUUUAUUAGAAAGUGAUUCACUAAAAUCAUUUUAGAUUGAGCUACGUAGGCAAGGCUGCAUUCUGAGCAUGGAGGGAGCCAAACAGUUCGCAUUUAACAGGUUGGUGCUGGAAAGGGAGGGGUCAGAGAAACCACAAAAUUUGCCCUGUGUUUGUGUAGCUGGGGCUAUGCUGCUUCCUUGCCUUGUGGGAUGAGGGCUGCUUCCUGUUCUGUUCUUUGCCACUUGAAAAUAGCAAAAAGCAGAGCUGUUCAGAAGCUGCCUGAAUCUCCCUAGCAAUACAUGGCGCAGGAGGGAUAUGGAGGCUGACUUUUCUUUAUUGUUUUGCACCAAAGGAAAAAGGAGUGAACUUGACACCACUACAAAUGAGGGACGGGGGGGGAGAUAUUUGGUUCAUUUUGCCUUUUAACAUGAAGUUCUUUAAUUGCAUUUCUUGAAACAGUGAUGUAAAAUGCAGCUACCCUUUGAGAUUCAUGCUCCUCUGGAUCUUGCGACGCAGUUUAUUUAUUUAUAAAAAACAUUUACACACUACUCAAUCAUAAAAAUAUAUCAAAGCAGUUUACAACAUUAAAAAUAUAGAAAACCAUACACUAAAAGUGUAAAAAAAACCAAGCAUCAGGUAACCAUUGUGGAAAGAUACAGUCUGAACUGCCUGCAUAGGCCUUGCGGAAUAGAAAGGUUUUCAGCAGGCUUUUGCUGAAUCUUUAUUGACUGGGUUUAUGGCACUAAAGACUUGGUUUCUCAUUGUCAAGUGAGCAUCACCAACUUGGGGAACAACCAACGACAUUCCUAUAGAUGUUCAAGGCUUUGUAAAUUAAUACCACCUUGAACUUGGCUCAAUAGUAGAUGGGACAUCAGUGCAGCUGUUUUAACAAUGGUGUCACAUGUUCAUAGAAUCUGUCACAGUCUGGUUCACAAGCGAUUGAAGUCCUGGCUGGGGACGUUGGGACCGGGGGCAAGAUGGCAGGGUGGGAGCAGGAACGGGAGUCCAGAAGCCAGGAGUCAGAAAGCCAAGAGUCCGAGGGUCAGAGAGCCGGGAGUCAAGAAGCCGAGGUUCCGAGGGUCAGGAAGCAAGGAGUCACAAAGUCAAGGGUGCUGUGAGUUACCAAUCGACCUCACCUGUGUGGCCGCGCCUUGCUUCUUCAGAACAAACUGAGGAAGGCCCCAGUCCUGCAGAGUCCUAUUGGUCACAGGGCUUGGCUUCAUGCACACCUGACAGAAUCGUAGCGUUGGAAGGGACUGUAAGGGUCAUCUAGUCCAAUUCCCUGCAAUGCAGGAAUCCCAACUAAAACAUUCAAGACACGUGGCCACACAACCUCUGCUUAUAAACCUUCAAUGAAGGAGAGUCCCAAGAGAGACCGUUCAAUUUCGAACAGCUCUUACUGUCAGAAAGCUCUUCCUGGUGUUUAGUGGAAAUCUCCUUUCUUAUAACUUGAAUCCACUGGUUCAAGUUCUACCCUCUAGAUCAGAAGAAAACAAGCUUGCUCCAUAUUCCAUGUGACAGCCCUUGAGAUAGGUGAAGCUGGCUAUCACAUCUCUCAGUUUCCUCUUUUCCAGGCUAAACAUAUCCAGCUCCUUCAACCGUUCCUUAUAAGGAUCGGUUUCAGACCCUUGAUCAUCUUGGUUGCCAUCCUCUGCAACCACGUUCUUGGCCAGAAGCUCCCAUCAGCAAUCUGGCUGCAACAUUCUGUGCCAGCUGGAAUUUAUGGACCCAUUCUCCAACCAAUAAAUGUGCAGAGAGAUGCAGAUAGAAUAAUGUACGAAAGGUGUUAAUGAAAAGAACACAGACAAUUGCAUUAUAUUGACUGCAGAAACCUGUUUGUAAAAACACAUAUAUUACGCAAAAAUGCGUAUUAAAAUGGAUAAAUCAGGAUAAAUGCAUUUUAAGAGCCUGAUGAGUUUUUGUGAGUGCGUUAAAAAUACUUUGCAGACUGAUGCAGGUGGUGAAUUGGACAUCAUAACGGAGAGAAGUGGGAAUAGACGGAUUCUUCCUAUAAACACAACUUUGAAAGGAGAAGAGGCCACGGCAGGAGUUGCAAUAAGGGAAGCUUUUUAGCUUGAGGGCCACAUCCCCUUCUCUGUUACUUUAUUUGGGGUGCACGUCAGUGGUGGGCAGAGCCAGAGGCACGAGUGGGCAGAGCAACCAUUGUUGUUUUUACCUAUAGAAAAGAGUGGCUGCUUUCUGUAGUCACUCACGUACCACUCUCUAUUCUUCAUCCAGGAAAGCCGGAGCCAUUAUAAAGAGAUCAAAGACACACAUUCCAUCCAGGCAAAAACACUCAAAGAGAGUGACCUCAUGAGCCCAGCAGCUCUGUCAAAACUGGGCUGGGGUUGGCAGGCUCUGAUGGAGGAUGCAGAAGAAACGGGGGUGAGGGCUGGGGAACCUCGGUUGAAGUGGGAUCUCCUUUCCACCCUGGCUUUGGUCACUUUGGAAGGGCGAGCAGGGGUGUCGUCUCUCUUCCUGACAUUCCUGUGGAGCAGGAAGACUCAAUGGAGGGCUUUGAUCCACUCACUGGAGGCUGGACAGGAGGCAGCAGUGACUGACCAGGAUCCUGAGCUGGAGGGUGUAACCUUGUGGCCUAGAAGCUGACAGUGCCUUUGCAGAUGGAGCAGACUCGCCCGCUCUGAUGGUGUGCACUCUUGCAGUCUUGAUAUUCCCGCACGACAAGGGAAUCUUGUGAGUGAGCGUCCCACGCCAGUCCUUAACUCCUUGGCCUGCUCCUAAAUUCCUGAACUGCGAUGCUUGAGCACGGUGUCUGCUGCUGAAACUGUACCAUUACUUGCCUGGAUAAAGGUGUCUUCCUCUACUCUAGGUGUUGGGUAGGAGCCAGGACAAGGGCAAAGCAGGGCCAGAGGAAUGUGGCCUGGGGAAAGUCCUGGGGGGCCAAACAGAAAGGCCUCAGGGGCCAUGUUUAGCCCCUAGGCCUGCGUCUUCCCAUCUCUGGGCUGCAGCUUUCAGGGUUCCUGUUCCUCCAUCUUCUUCGAUUGCACCCUGUCAACACACCACAGCAGGGCUAGGACUGGGGAGUGGGGGGCAGGGGAAUCUCCCCUCACCUGCUGGAUUUUCUCAGGGAUGCUGCUGACGGUGAAACCGUAGAGGCGGACCCGAUCAGGGAAGAUGCUGGAGAGGAUCCUGCGAUCCAGCUGGAAGGCAAUCUCUCCAACGAUUCGCUCCAUGGUUACCAGUUUGGGAUCUGUAAGGACCAAGGGGGGAUUUCCAGUCAGUCCAGCAGGAUACCGCAGUAGGCAGCAGAUCUCCCAACUCCUCCUUGAGGGGGACACCCAACGAAGUGCUACAUUUGCUCAGGGAAGCCUUAGGGCCAGGGCAGCCCCCUUAGGACUGUCCCCAUACUGCACCCUCACUGGACAUCCUCCGUGCCCUCCUUGAGUGCUUUUGCCUGUGCAGGAUGUGUCCUUGAGGUGCCUCUGACUUGCCUGGAUAGAGAAACGUGAUGUGUGUGUGUUUGUAGAUAUGCUGGUUGACAUCCUCCAAUGGCACAAAAGAAUAUAGGGUUUAGUCCUGUUGACAAAACUUGCAUAUUAUGAAAGAGAGAUUGAAUGAAGUGCACUAAACAAUAUUUAUUGAAAAAUAGUUUGUUAAUUAUUGGAAUGUAACAUGCCAAGACACUGUUCAACCAUAUAUUUUAUUUUCACUUAUAUAAUCACUAAUAUAAUUUGACAUUCUGCUUGAAAUUCAUUCAUAACCAAAGGCACCCAAAAAGUUAUGUAUCACUCCUUAAACCCCUGGAGACACACUUCAUUGUCUCUUAAGACAGAUGAACGCCAAUAAAAAACCCUUCUUAAACCAUAACUGACCUUUUGUAUAUGGAUCCAAGAUAUUAUGAAAUCAUAUAUAGGUAUAUUGUGAAAUAGAAAGCAGAUGAAGCAGUGGGCAGAGCACUAUCAAGAACUGUACUUGUGGGAAAACAUGGUUGCUGACACAGCAGUUGACAGCAUCCAGACACUGCCUGUCUUGGGAGAGCUGGAUGUCCUCCCUCCCUCAAUGAGCUGAAGAAUGCCAUCAACUCUCAGGCAUGAGGAAAAGUCCCAGGACAGUACCAAAUUCCUAAAAGCUGGCCUCAAGUCCUCCCUCAUGCUGCACCUCCACUACUUCCUCUUGUUGUGUUGGGAUGCAGGAUCCAUGCCGCAAGACAUGCAUGACUCCAGCAUUGUGACCCUCUACAAGAACAAAGGUGACUGCCGUGACUAUUAACAACCAAUUUCUUGCCUUUCCAAAAGGGAAUGGCAGAAUGUGAUGCUAACAACCUAUACCAAGCUGAUUUUUAAAGCACAGGGAGAUCCCCCCCCCCACAACCGCAAGGCUUCUCUUGGAUAAAAGCUUUUUGUUGUGAUGCUAAUGACCAAUACCAAGAUGAAGGCCUACUAGGCUCCUGUGUUGGAUCACACUGCAUGAGUAAGAUUUUGGGCAUCAUAUGGCAGGAUAGAGACUCAAGCAAAAAUGUGCUCUCUCAAGCCCACAUUCCCAGCAUGUUUUCACUCUACUCUCAGCGACGUCUACACUGGCAUGAUCAUGUCCGCAAAAUAAAAGAUGGCAGGAUUCCUAAGGAUGUGCUCUACAGAGAACUGGCUUCAGGCAACAGACCUGUCUGUGAAUAUAACAUGAAUGCUGGCACCAUCAACCCCACAGUGUGGGAAUCUCUUGCUGACAAUUGCAGUGCCUGGAGGCAAUCAAUCAGGUCAUGCAUCCACAGCAGUGACCAGAGGAGAAAAGACCUCUGGGAGGAGUGCAGAAAGAAGAAAUGCCAUGGUACACCUACAUCAGCUCAACUGGAUGCCUUUAUCUGCCUUAGCUGAAACAUAACACGUCUCUCCCAUAUCAGUUUCUACAGCUACAGCAGAUGUUAUAACUCUCCAACAGUCUGACUUUACCCAUAAAGGUGCACUGCUCAUUGUCUCCUGAGACAGACAGAUGCCAGAAGCAUAUUAAAUUGGUAUUCUGCCUUUCAUCCGAAGAUCAUAGGGCAGUUCACAACAUAAAAAUAAACACGAGACAAAAAUACAUUAAGAAUCAAACGGACCAAUAACCCCCCUCCACAAACAUGCAUUUUUAUUUUAUUUAUUAAAAUGAAAGAUGAUUUUAUUUAUUAUUUAUUCAGGGCCACGCUGCCUCUUCAUUCUGGAGAGAGCCCCAUGGCCACCAUGAUUUUAAACCAUAGAUAUUCUCAUCCUCCAUUAAUCCUCCUUUUUAAAACAUCUGGGGAUAGAGGGCAAUUUGCUCAGAUAGGUAAGGUGGUGGUGCCGAGGAAACAAGAAACAUAUUACCUGUAAGGCUGGCCAGUAUCUGGUUUUCAACAUCACAAUAUAUCACCAGCUAAACAUCAUUAUAUAGCACGAUAUAUAUCUGUGGUGGUGGAGGGCCUUGCUGCACCUCCCCGCAGCGGCAGAGGGUCCCGCCAUACCUCCCCACCACUGUGGAGGAUGUGCUGCUCUUCCCUGCAGCAGUAGAGGGCUUUGCUGAGGCUCUCUGCAGCUGUGGAGGGCCUUAAAAUGUAAGGAAGUAGUAGAUUUAAUAAAAAUAUUAAAUAAACUUCCAUAUAAUAUAUUUAAUAUGUUUUCAACUAAUUUAAGAGUAGUUUAAGUGAUUUACUAGUCAAGUUGCAUCUGUUUCCACACUCAGAGGUCUAAGUGGAAUCUUUGCAUACAAGUAAGCCCUCUGACUGGAGAGGAGAGCCAACUGCCCCAUAGACCUUAUGAAUGUAAAAUAGAUCUUCUGUCAGGUGCGCAAUUGCCCACCAGUCGCAUCUAUUUGAUGUCACAAGCAGAGCUUGUGGUUUUGAGACAGUUUUUGGAAGAAUCUAGCAACGGGUUUCAUCAGACCGCCCAAGGCACCAGGAGGCGCCCCUGUGCUAUUCGUGAAGAAAACGGUACCUCAGAACUUAGAUUGUGCACAAACUAUAGGAAGAUUAACCACAUAAUGGUGUCCAAUUGCUGUCUGCUACCACACAUUGGGGAUUUAUUGGAAAGGUUGAGGUCAGGAAAAAUCUUCACAAAGUUGGAUUUGAGGGGGCCUUAUAACCAAUCUGUGUGAGAGAGGGAGAUGAGUGGAAAACAGUGUUCUGCACCAGAUAUGGCAGCUUCGAAUACCUGGUCAUGCCCUUUGGACUGCCGUCAGGGACAGCAACGUUCCAAGCCUUCAUCAACUAUGUCCUCAGAGGCCUAGUGGAUAGAUUCAUGGUGGUUUACCUUGAUGUGCUGAUAUACUCAGAGAAGCCAGAGCAACAUGUACGUCACGUGACAGAGGUGCUGCAGAGACUGUGGAAACAUCAACUCUGUGCCAAGCUGGAAAAGUCUCAGUUUCGUGUAUCAACAGUAGAUUUCCUAGGUCACUGCCUCACACUGGAGGGGUUGCACAUGGAUCCUGCUAAGGCGCAGAGCAUAGUGUCAUGGCAGGAACCCAAGGCAAAGAAAGAUCUGCAGAGAUUCUUGGGUUUUGCCAGCUACUUCAAGUUCGUGCCAAGACUCACUACGCCUCACAGAUUGCUUGAGGGGCAAGAAGCCAUUCCAGUGGACAGCCGAGGUGCGGCAGGCAUUUGAAUUCAAAACCAUAUUCUUCUCAACGGUAUACCUAGCACAUGUAGACCCUCACUGGCCGCUGAUUGUGGAAAUGGAUGCCUCUGACAGGGUGGUGGGGGUGGUGCUGCUGCAAGGAGACCAAGAUGGCAACCUACGCCCGUGUGCCUUCCACUCCAGGAAGCUGACUCCUUCCGAGUAGAAUUACACCAUUUGGGAGAAGGAACUUUUAGUGAUCAAAGAAGCCUUUGAAGUGUGGAGGGGGUGACGCCAGGUGGAGGUGCACACUGAAAGUCCAAAUCUAGAGUAUUGGCAGAUGAUGAGAUGUCUCAAUCAACGGCAGAUUUGUUGGGCGCAGUUCUUUGGCAGAUUUGAUUUUGGACUCCAGUAUGUAGCCGGUAGUUUGAAUCAAGGAGUAGAUGCCCUUUCCAGGAAGCCGGAAUAUCAGGAUGAUGAGCCAGUUCCAGUGUAUAGGCACAACUUGAAGCCAGAGCAGCUACAGCUAGCAGCUGGGUCAGUUGUGGAAGUCUCUGAGUUCCAGCAGAAGACAAGGGAGGAUGCAUUCGCGAAAGGCGAGCUAGUGGUGCUGCGGGGGGAUGCCAGUGAUGUGGAGAGGUUCCUGGAAAAGGAUGGGCUCCUGUAUAGAGGAGAAGCUCUUAUGUUCCAGAGGGAGACCUCUGAGCCAAGGUCUUACGUCAAUGCCAUGAUAACCCUACAGCUGGACACUUGGGGCAGCACAAGACGCUAUGCCAUGUGAUGAGGCAAUUCUGGUGGCCGAGGUUAAGGGAGAAAGUCAAGAAAUAUGCCAGAGCCUGCGAAAUGUGUCAGCGGGCGAAGAGACCCAGAGAAGUGCCAGCGGGCUUGCUAUAACCGUUGCCCACCCCGCAAGGCCCUUGGCAAACCAUAGCUAUGGACUUCAUCACUGAUCUGCCGGAAUCGCAGCAGCAGACAGUGAUCUGGUUGGUGGUAUACCUGUUCACUAAGAUUGCGCACUUUGUGCCCUGUAAGGGACUUCUGACAGCCCAAGAAACAGCACAGCUCUUUGUAGACCAUGUGUUCAAGUUGCACGUGCUCUCAGAGUGAUCUCAGGUGAGCCCAAUUAACCUCAAAGUUCUGGAAGCAGCUCAUGCAACUACUCAAGGUAGAGUUGUGCUUCACCUCAGUUUGACACCCAGAGACGAAUGGAAAGGCAUAAAGGACUAAUGCCAUGUUGCAGCAGUAUCUCCGUAGUUAUGGGAACUACCAGCAGGAUGAUUGGGUGUCCAAACUGCCCUUGGCGGAGUUCACAUACAACAAUGCACUUCAUGCUUCAACGCAACAGACCCCCUUUUUUGCCAGUCAUGGAUACCAUCCCCAACACCCUGUCAGUGCUGGCAGCAGAUGACUUCGUAGAAGUAUUGACAGCUAACCAGAGUUUGCUUAAGGAGCGUUUGGACUGUUCUAAGGAGGCAUAUAAAAAAUCAGCUGAUGUGCAUAGACAGCCAGGUAGUGACAUCAAGGUGGGAUAUGUGGUUGUCAACACAUUAUUUACUUCAGAAAGAUAGAUAUAGAAAACUGGACCGCCAGAGAGGGGGGCCAUUUGAAGUGAUGGAAUAGAUCAAUCCUGCGACUUUCAGGCUCAGGUUGCUGGUAUCAAUGAAGAUCUACCCUGUAUUCCAUAGAUCCUGGUCGUUGCCAGUGGUGCCUGCGCACCCUUACCAAGCACCUAGACAAACACCUCCACCUCCAGUCCUGGUAGAAGGAGAGGAAAAGUUUGAAGUAGAACAAAUUCUAGACUCGCAAAUGAGAAGGAAGAGGUUGCAAUACUUGAUUGUGUGGAGCGGGUAUGGGCCAGAAGAAAGAUACUGGGAAUGUGCAGAAUAUGUUCAUGCCCUGGACUUGCAAAAGGAGUUUUAUAGAAGUCACCCCAGCAGACCAAAACUG